rnacentral:rRNA from 1 species
GAUGAACGCUGGCGGCGUGCCUAAUACAUGCAAGUCGAGCGAACAGACGAGGAGCUUGCUCCUCUGACGUUAGCGGCGGACGGGUGAGUAACACGUGGAUAACCUACCUAUAAGACUGGGAUAACUUCGGGAAACCGGAGCUAAUACCGGAUAACAUGUUGAACCGCAUGGUUCAACAGUGAAAGACGGUCUUGCUGUCACUUAUAGAUGGAUCCGCGCCGCAUUAGCUAGUUGGUAAGGUAACGGCUUACCAAGGCAACGAUGCGUAGCCGACCUGAGAGGGUGAUCGGCCACACUGGAACUGAGACACGGUCCAGACUCCUACGGGAGGCAGCAGUAGGGAAUCUUCCGGAAUGGGCGAAAGCCUGACGGAGCAACGCCGCGUGAGUGAAGAAGGUCUUCGGAUCGUAAAACUCUGUUAUUAGGGAAGAACAAAUGUGUAAGUAACUAUGCACGUCUUGACGGUACCUAAUCAGAAAGCCACGGCUAACUACGUG